CGUGCCUGCCAGAGCGACGGGAGGGGCAGCAUCCGCAUGGAGCAUGCGCCGUGCGUAGCGGUGGAGGCGCUUCCUCCGGGAGGCCGGUCGGGUGAGCAUGCGCAGUGCCUGCCCGCGGGGCGCGAGGCCGAGGCUGGAAGCACCCCAGGUGGCGUGGACUCACGCGGCUCUUCAACCGAAUACCUGAAAUUCAUGAUAAAAAAAUGGAUGAAGGCCUGGUGUUCACGUCGUGGCUGAUGAACGCUGUCCGGGUCUUGUUCUCCGGUUCGUUUACCGCGACAGAGUUUCACUCUCGUUACCCAGGCUGGAGUGCAGUGGUGCGAUCUCGG